rnacentral:sRNA from 1 species
UAUUCUGCCCUACGGGGAAGGAUGAGAAGCUUCGACCAAGGUUCGACUCGAGCGCCAGCGAGAGAACGUUGCCGCAGGCAACGGCCCGAAGGGCGAGGCGCUUUAGCGCCGAGUUAUCCUUCCCCCUCUAUUC